AUUUUUUGUCUCAUUUAAAUGUACUUAAUGGACUAAUCACGCAGCUAGCAAACCUCGGAGUAAAGAUCGAGGAUGAAGAUAAAGCCAUAGUGCUCCUAAACUCGUUGCCAUCUUCCUACGAUACUUUAGCAACAACCAUUUUACAUGGUAAGGACUCUAUUGAGUUGAAGGAUGUCACAUCAGCCCUUUUGCUUAAUGAGAAGAUGAGAAAAAGGCCUGAAAAUCACGGACAGGCUCUCAUCACGGAAAGUAGAGGCAGAAGUUACCAAAGGAGCUCAAGUAACUAUGGUAGAUCCGGAGCUCGUGGAAAGUCCAAGGUCCGAUCAAAAUCGAAGGCCAGAAAUUGCUACAAUUGCGAUCAACCAGGACACUUCAAAAGAGAUUGUCCAAAUCUAAAAAGGGGCAAAGGGGAAAGCAGCGGCCAGAAGAAUGAUGACAACACAGCUGCCAUGGUGCAAAAUAAUGACGAUGUUGUUCUCCUCAUAAAUGAGGAAGAAGAAUGCAUGCACUUGGCAGGUAUAGAGUCGGAAUGGGUGGUCGACACAGCAGCAUCUUAUCAUGCCACACCGGUAAGAGAUCUUUUUUGCAGAUAUGUAGCCGGUGAUUAUGGCAAUGUGAAAAUGGGUAACACAAGUUACUCAAAGAUUGCGGGGAUCGGAGACAUUUGCUUAAAAACAAAUGUUGGAUGCACAUUAGUGUUGAAAGAUGUGCGCCACGUACCUGAUUUGCGGAUGAACUUGAUCUCGGGAAUUGCUUUGGACCAAGAUGGAUAUGAGAACUACUUUGCAAAUAAAAAAUGGAGACUCACCAAAGGGGCAUUGGUGAUUGCAAAAGGAGUUGCUCGUGGCACGUUAUACAGGACAAAUGCAGAAAUAUGCCAAGGUGAAUUAAAUGCGGCUCACGAAGAAAAUUCUGCAGAUUUAUGGCAUAAAAGAAUGGGUCAUAUGAGCGAGAAAGGAUUGCAAAUUCUUUCCAAAAAGUCACUCAUCUCUUUUGCCAAAGGUGGCGUAAGGGCCACUGCGGUACGACCAGUGAUUGAAGGUACAUCUAAGAAGAAACCACCAACUAAGGAAAGGACUCAAAGGCGAGUGGUUGUUACAGGAAUGGAUGUGAUCACACCAAAUGGUCAGGAUCCCGAUGUGUUCUAUGAAAACUUGCUUCAAGGUGUCAGUGGCAUAAGUGAGAUAGAAUCUUUUGAUUGUUCACAAUUUCCAACAAGAAUUGCUGGAGAGAUCAAGUCUUUCUCAAGUGAUGGCUGGAUUUCACCUAAACUUUCUAAACGAAUAGACAAGUUCAUACUUUACGCUCUAACAGCUGGUAAGAAGGCAUUGAUAAAUGGCGGAAUUACUGAAGACGUAAUGAAAGAAUUGAAUAAAACAAGAUGUGGAGUUUUGAUUGGAUCUGGUAUGGGUGGAAUGAAGGUCUUCAAUGACGCAAUAGAAUCUUUAAUGACUUCUUACAAGAAGAUGAAUCCCUUCUGCAUACCACUUGCCCCUACAAACAUGGGCUCUGCGAUGCUUGCCAUGGACCUGGGAUGGAUGGGUCCAACUUAUUCAAUUUCAACAGCAUGUGCGACAAGUAACUUCUGCAUUUUAAGUGCUGCUAACCAUAUCAUUAAAGGUGAAGCUGAUAUGAUGCUCUCUGGUGGAUCAGAGGCAGUUAUUAUACCAAUUGGACUGGGAGGAUUUGUUGCAUGCAGAGCACUUUCCCAGAGAAACAAUGAACCUACUAAAGCUUCUCGGCCUUGGGAUAGUAAUCGUGAUGGAUUUGUAAUGGGUGAAGGAGCUGGAGUCCUGCUUUUGGAAGAACUUGAGCAUGCUAAGAGAAGAGGUGCAACUAUCUACGCUGAAUUUCUGGGUGGAAGCUUUACAUGUGAUGCUUAUCAUAUGACUGAGCCUCAUCCUGAAGGAGCUGGUGUUAUCUUAUGCAUAGAGAAGGCAUUAGCUCAGUCUGGUGUAUCCAAGGAAGAAGUGAACUACAUUAAUGCGCAUGGCACUUCCACACCAGCAGGGGAUCUCAAAGAGUACCAAGCGAGUGUACAUUGUUUUGGCCAGAACCCAGAGUUACGAAUUAACUCCACGAAGUCUAUGAUUGGUCACCUGCUAGGAGCUGCUGGUGCUGUUGAAGCUGUAGCAACUAUUCAGGCAAUACGAACUGGAUGGGUUCAUCCGAAUAUAAAUCUUGAUAGCCCAGAUGAGGGUGUGGAUACAAAUGUACUUGUGGGUUCGAAAAAAGAAAGAUUGGAUAUUAAGGUGGCAAUAUCGAAUUCAUUUGGAUUUGGUGGCCAUAAUUCAUCGAUAUUAUUUGCUCCCUACAAGUAAAUAUAUUGUCCAUCCCAACAAACCUAAGGUAUGUAUGGUUGUUGAUUUUGAAUGUAAAGUUCAGUUAUGAGUGUUAUGACUUCGCAGAUUGAAACAACCUGUCCUUUGUGUAUCAAGGAAGACGAAAAUAAUAAGCACGAAAAGAGGGCGUUUAAAGGUAAAUUGAAUUAGGGUCCUUGAUUUCGAGUUAUAUAUGGAGUCAAAAUUGACGAUGACUUCUCUAGUGGAAGAAGGUAUUUGUAGUAGCCGGUAGAUAAUUGUUGGAGCAAGCACGUGAAAGGGAAAAUCGCGUAGGAUUUUCCUUUUCGAUCAUGGCUACUAUAGCAUUCUUGGUUUCGAUCAUAAUACAUAUAGAUUGAUCCAAUAUCUGAUUCAAAUCCAAUAUAGUUUUCAAAAAUUAUUGUAUCAAAAUUGUUGUUACUAUAGAACAUUUCUAAUAAUAGCAUACUAUUAUUCUCUUCAACAA